AGUUACCAAAAUGCCCUUACCUCUUGUGUAAUUUUAGAAAAUAUCUAUAGGGUUUCUUGUAAUUUUCCCUAAUAAACAUUAUCUCUUUAAAUUUCUUUCCCUGGUCGGUCAAGAACAGAGCACGAGGGGAGAGAGGGAGAGAAAUUCUGGGUCUAGAAAUUUCGAGCUUCUCUGUCUUCUCCAUCGGUCUUCCUCAUCCUUCCUUCUCCAAUGUUCUUCCCGUGUCACCGGCGAUCGUGGAUGCUCAGCACUGCCUUGCAAAAAUGCCCAGUGUGUCUCUGUAGGUGCUGCCAUUAGCGAGUCCUUCUUCAUGCUCUCUGCCUCUGUUCCUUUUCUUUUUCGUGCUGCUGUUCUAUCUUGCUGUGCACAUCUGGGUCGUUGGCUGAUGGAAGAAAUCAGGUCGCUGGAGUGGGUGUACUGAUCGCCAAUCCGAAUCAGCGCUGAGUUCCUUUUUCUUCUCCCCCUUGGUUUCUUCCUCCUUUAUUUUGUUCGUUUGUGGUUGGGAAGUGAAGGAAGAGCUGAUAUGGUGCUGUGGAAGGAUUAAUUUGUGGGUUGAGGCAGAAAUAUUGCUAUAUUCUUCUUCCCCUGUUCAGUUGUGGAUUCAGUUUUCUUCCUCCCUCUGUGUGUGUGCACUGUCGGCUAACUAAGGAUGCUAAGAGAAAGGAGGAGUUGAUUGAAGUUCUAAGAAAUGAAUUUUGAUGCUCGGGCAUAUUAUAGAUAGCAUAAUUGACGCUGUACGUCUUACUUACCAAUGACGGAUGUUUUCGGAGUGGAGGCUUGCUUUGUAAACAUGGCUUAUUGAUGUAAAUAUGAAAUUUAUGUAUUAUGUCAUGAGAUAUAUGAUUAGGUGCUCCACAUAACUUAUAAUUAAAAUCCUUAGUUUAUUAUACAUUUUGUCUGCUGGCUUGAAGGAGCCGAGUUCUUGAUAGAUAUAAUGUUUGAGGAAAAUUUUUAUGAUACAGAAUUUUUGGUAGAUCUUAUUUACAAAGAUGGUUCUGUUAAAAUUUUUACGAGAUGUUGAAAUAAUUAGUAGUAAUAGUAUUAAAAUGUUAGUGAAUAAUUGAGUACUUUUUUUUGUAAUUAAAUGAAAUAAACCUUGAAUUUGUGGCUUACGGGAUGUAUGUGUGGUUCGCAUC